rnacentral:rRNA from 1 species
GACGGAGGGGGCUAGCGUUGUUCGGAAUCACUGGGCGUAAAGGGCGCGUAGGCGGGCCAUCAAGUCCGGGGUGAAAGCCCACGGCUCAACCGGAGAAGUGCCUUGGAUACUGGUGGUCUUGAGUGAAGUAGGGGUAUGCGGAACUUCUGGUGGAGCGGUGAAAUGUGUUGAUAUCAGAAGGAACGCCGGUGGCGAAAGCGGCGGACUGGACCUGUUCUGACGCUGAGGCGCGAAAGCUUGGGGAGCAAACAGG